CGUCUAUAUACGUAUAGCAUAUCAAUAAGCGGAGGAAAAGAAACUAACAAGGAUUCCCCUAGUAACGGCGAGUGAAGCGGGAAGAGCUCAAAUUUGAAAUCUUAAAGGGUUUCCCUUUACGAAUUGUAGUUUAAAGAAGUGUUUUCUGUUGGAGUUUCGGUAAAAGUUCUUUGGAAUAGGACAUCAUAGAGGGUGAGAAUCCCGUAUUUGACCGUUACUUUCCAGCUGUGUGAUACACUUUCAAAGAGUCGGAUUGUUUGGGAAUGCAGUCCAAGAUGGGUGGUAAAUUUCAUCUAAAGCUAAAUAUUGGCGAGAGACCGAUAGCGAACAAGUACCGUGAGGGAAAGAUGAAAAGAACUUUGAAAAGAGAGUUAAACAGUACGUGAAAUUGUCAAAAGGGAAGCGUUUGACACCAGUGUUGUUUAGUUGAAAAUCAAUUCAAUAGUUUUUGAUUCUAAGUAGUAUUGACUUCAUCGGCUUGCUUCUUUCUUUACGAAACUUUCUUAAUGCACUUUUCGGUUAACAAGUCAACAUCAAUUUCUUUUGUUGUAAAAGGGUAUGAGGAGGGUGGCUUUCUUUUCGGAGAAAGUGUUUAUAGCCUUGUGCCUCUGCAAUCGGAGAGAUUGAGGUCUGCAGCGUAGAUCCUUCGGGGUUAGAUACGUUUGUGCUAAGUUAUAGCUUUUCAUAGACAACUUGUUGACUAUGUUUAGUCUUGUAGCUUACUCGCUUACGCUAUUUUACCUACGCUUAGGAUGUUGACGAUCAGCUGAGCGCG
rnacentral:rRNA from 1 species